rnacentral:rRNA from 1 species
UACAGAGGGUGCGAGCGUUAAUCGGAAUUACUGGGCGUAAAGCGUGCGUAGACGGUUUCGUAAGUCGGGUGUGAAAUCCCCGGGCUCAACCUGGGAAUUGCAUUCGAAACUGCGAGGCUAGGGUACGGAAGAGGGAAGCGGAAUUUCUGGUGUAGCGGUGAAAUGCGUAGAUAUCAGAAGGAGCAUCAGUGGCGAAAGCGGCUUCCUGGUCCAGUACCGACGUUCAGGCACGAAAGCGUGGGGAGCAAACAGG